rnacentral:rRNA from 1 species
UACAUAGGGGGCGAGCGUUGUCCGGAAUCAUUGGGCGUAAAGCGCGUGUAGGCGGCCCUGUAAGUCGAAUGUGAAAUCUCCGGGCUUAACCCGGAAACUGCACUCGAUACUGCAGGGCUUGAGGUAGGUAGAGGAGAGUGGAAUUCCCGGUGUAGCGGUGGAAUGCGCAGAUAUCGGGAGGAACACCAGUAGCGAAGGCGGCUCUCUGGGCCUUACCUGACGCUGAGACGCGAAAGCGUGGGUAGCAAACAGG